GGUCAAAAAGGAGCCCAGAGUGACAGUUUUCCUUGACGGUCGCCGUUCUGUUUGUUGUAACUGAUCUGCAACAUUUUGGGAAAAUACAGUUCCAUUGUACCUGCCACCUUUCAGCUGUAGCCAGAGACCUUUAUCAAAAUGGGCUUGUUUCCACAGAACAGCAGAACGGUUGGGGGUUUGCAUGUACAGUUAACCAGCAUAAGACUCGUACUGGGAAAAUCCAGCUGGGAUGUGACACAGCUUAACUGAUAGCUUAAGGCAUCAGUAUUGGGACCAAAGGCUGGUCAGAUUUGUAUCAUUCUGAGGACCAAAUGAUGGGAACAAUAAAAUUGUUCAUGACAGUUGUUCUCAUUUUGCUGUCCAGAUGAAGACUCUUAAGAUGACAGAAGGUGAUUUUUCUGGUGAUCGAGGACUUCCGGGGUAAUGACAGUGAUGAAAUGCAGGGGACCUGGUUGCCCCCAAGUUUCCUGGCAGUGUGUGAUACUGAGGAGGUGAGCUUGUUUCUGGAGCUGUGCUUUAAGAUUCAUGUUACAUGUAAAGCUGUCCUCAUUUGUGACUAUGGACCUAUGGAGUUGGGACAAUCUCUAUGGGAAGCAGAAGGCAAGGACCCCGGUCAUUUUAGGUAGAAACAACAGCAUGCUAAUGCAAAAAAUUAUGCAGUGUGCUACUGAACUUCAGAGGUGAUCAAUAAAAGAAGAAUAAAAAGACUAAUAAAAGUA
ensembl:lncRNA SNHG12 small nucleolar RNA host gene 12